rnacentral:tRNA from 1 species
UUGGGGAUAUAGCUCAGUGGUAGAGCACUUGCCUAGCAUGUGCAAGGCCCUGGGGUCAAUCCCCAGCACCAAA